rnacentral:rRNA from 1 species
AAAAGCCCGCACGCCGAAAGCCCAAGGUUUCCUUGCGCAACGUUAAUCGACGCAGGGUUAGUCGGUCCCUAAGGCGAGGGCGAAAGCCGUAGUCGAUGGGAAGCAGGUUAAUAUUCCUGCACCUCGCGUGAGUGCGAUGGAGGGACGGAGAAGGUUAGGUGUACCGGGCGCUGGUUGUCCCGGGGAAAGGCGGUAGGUUUGGAUCUUUGGCAAAUCCGGGAUCCUUUAAGACCGAGCACCGAGACGAGCCUUUAUGGCGAAGUCACUGAUACCACGCUUCCAGGAAAAGCUCCUAAGCUUCAGCUCACGAAGACCGUACCGUAAACCGACACAGGUGGGUAGGAUGAGAAUUCUCAGGCGCUUGAGAGAACUCG